ACGGGUGAGUAACGCGUGGGAAUCUACCGUACCCUACGGAAUAGCUCUGGGAAACUGGAAGUAAUACCGUAUACGCCCUAACGGGGAAAGAUUUAUCGGGGUAUGAUGAGCCCGCGUUGGAUUAGCUAGUUGGUGGGGUAAAGGCCUACCAAGGCGACGAUCCAUAGCUGGUCUGAGAGGAUGAUCAGCCACAUUGGGACUGAGACACGGCCCAAACUCCUACGGGAGGCAGCAGUGGGGAAUAUUGGACAAUGGGGGCAACCCUGAUCCAGCUAUGCCGCGUGAGUGAUGAAGGUCUUAGGAUUGUAAAGCUCUUUCAACGGUGAAGAUAAUGACGGUAACCGUAGAAGAAGCCCCGGCUAACUUCGUGCCAGCAGCCGCGGUAAUACGAAGGGGGCUAGCGUUGUUCGGAAUUACUGGGCGUAAAGCGCACGUAGGCGGGUAUUUAAGUCAGGGGUGAAAUCCCGCAGCUCAACUGCGGAACUGCCUUUGAUACUGGGUAUCUUGAGUAUGGAAGAGGUAAGUGGAAUUGCGAGUGUAGAGGUGAAAUUCGUAGA
rnacentral:rRNA from 1 species